CGUGGAUCCACACCAUGACAGGCAGGGGGCGCCACAGAGGGGAGGUGCAGUUGAGAUCCAGAGGCACGAAGACGUUGAGAAAAACUGUGUGCCUUCAGUCAGAGGAUUCUUCAAAUGUGCUGUAAUACAGACUGCUACAGGAGAUCCUGCCUCCCCACAGCCACCAGAAUCUACCACACCUUUUGGAGAACCUGGAAUUAUUAUGGACACUCCGAGGAGGUGGCUCCACUGCAGACCUGCAUGCACGCCGGCCGAGGGAACGACGCAUCGUAGACCCCAGACCACGGGC